GAGAGAGAGAUUGAGAGAGAGAGAGAGAGCGAGAGAGAGAGCGAGAGCGAGAGGGCGAGGAAGAGCAAGAGAGAGAGCAGCGGAGCAAGAAUGAGGAUGAGAGAUGGAGACUCUGAUGACCCCCCCUCCGUCCCAAUCUCGGGCUAUGGACGAAUUUCUUAGUAAGACAUCAAAGACCCACUACCAUCACCCCAGGUUAUUAGAGCUGGGACACGGAUCUUUUGCACAGGCUCUCCCAGGUGCCUGGAAUGCGCUCCCUCCUCUUGUUCUAAGUUCCCUUCCGAGACGUACGAGUUGUCUCUUCGGAUAGAAUCUAAAUUCCUGGAAGGCAAGGAAUUUCAUCUUUAUCUCUAUCCCUGACAUCUAACAGUGCCUGGCACACAGGAGGCCACUCGAGGAAUGCUUGUUUAUUGAUUUAUUGAUGGAGGAAACGGGAAUCGAUCAAAGUUGCAAAUAGAGGGGGUGGGCGUUGGGAAGAAGUUCCUGUUUUUUAAAGACUGGAGUAAAGAAAGAGACAAUGGGCAGUGGUGUUGAUGAGGUGCUUGUGCUUGGACCCUAAAUUCUUACAGCCUCUGCUUGGGGCCUGUGCCUGAACUCCAAUUCCAAAACACAUCCAGUUCUCAUAAACACAUCUAGUUCUCAAAACAUAUUCUCUCUCAGGCUGUUUUCUCUCUAGUUAAAGGUCAACGUGACCCAACUUAUCUCUGCUUCUUCCUUAGUACACUGAAUCAUAACCAUAUUUACUAUUUACUGACCUUUCUAACAUGUAUCUUAGAGAUAGUAUUUUGUCUAACAAGACACUAGAUGAGAAACUAUCCCCUUUAGCCCCAACUGAUGGUGAACUUAGUGACAUUUCACAGUAAAGACCACACCCCUAGUAAUCCCCUGUGGGCUAUUUCCUAGAGAAUUCUGGGUGAUAAACCUGUGCAGUAGAUACUAAAUGUGCAUGUUCCUUUGGGGACCAACCAUACCUCCACCACUCCCUAAUCCCACCCCCCCAAACACCUAACUGACAUG